rnacentral:lncRNA from 1 species
AGCGUUCGAGAAUUAGGACAAGAUCAAGAUCUAGACAUAACCAAUUGCUUAUCCGAAGUAGUAAAAGUAAAGAAGGAAGAAGAAGAAGAAGAUUGCUGUAAGACUCCGACACGUCUUGAUCAAAUUCUCCCGGCGAUCCCACAAACCUGUCCGCCGGCGCCGAGGAAACCUAAGGGAGUCCCGUCGAGGAGUUUGAAGGUUAGAAAUUGUUAUAAAAGCAGGAGAAUGAUCAUUCUGAAUGUUUCUAGAGAAUUCGACUGUAUGUUUCAUUCAACAUCUCUGUGUAACAAGAUUAAAAAGGCCAGACAUAUUUGAUGUUUCAUAUGGUAUCAUGUAUGUAUAACGUACGUAUAGCUCAUGUAACCAAAUUGUAAUAAACUACGUACGAGUUAUAUAAUAAUGUAGUGACAUUUUAUUUUUAUUUUAUUUUUAACAUAUUUUUUUCUGUUGCUUUUUUUAUUUCGUUUGGAAAGUGACAAGGCUUUUCAAAAUUUGGAAUAUUGUCCGUGAAAUAUUUAGAGGCGCAUACGCUUUUUGCAUGCUUUUUUCUCGUGAUUUUUGUAAAUUGGAAAUAAUCGGUAAUUAGAAUACAUGAACUAUAAGCAUUGGAAAGCAGAAUAGAGUUGGUGAAUACUUUGGUUAUGUAAAGUGGAAUCUAGUCUUGAAACAAUAUUUAAAACUAAUGACAUUUUGUUAACUAAAAGAAGAUUUAAAUGCUUCGAUCACUGAAAUCAAGGCAAGCGUGUUUUCCCAUUUUGCUUAUCCAAGGGCCAAAGGCUAUGCAAUUAAUUAUUCUUAAAAAUGCAAAUUUGGCCGUAUAAAGAUUUUAUAACAUAGUGAUAGUAUUUUUUUUCUCAAUUUACAUAUAUCCAAGCCUACUUUGUCGUUGUACUCGACAUCCAAGUAGAAGAAUUUUUAGUCCAGACUCCAGAGGUAUUUGCAUUGGUCAAUUUGCAGUAAUGAUCCAUCUAAGAACUACUUUAACUCUUUUAAGAGAGAACCCGUAUAUGUAAUAUGUUCUAUUGUCUAUACAACAAGAAGUUGUAUUUGAUGGAGUUUAAAAGAACCACAUUUUGUAUGAAUAUUAUUAUAACUGAACCUCCUUGAAACCCCCGAUAUUAUAAACAUGUACAUUCAGUGAACUCAUUAUAUCAUAACAAACAGAAAGACAAUUUCCAUGAUCUUCAAAAUCUGGAUAUAUAUAAUUAAAUUUACAAAAUACACAAUUCAAAACAACACGUACGUAGUGUUACCACUUACCAUUAUAUAAACCAAACUAAGCCUUCAAAGCCAUAAACUUCUUCUCUGCCUCUUUCUUUUCUCUCUCAUCAGAACUAUUUAGCUACCUUCCCUUUUACGUUUUUCUUCUGAAAGAUGAGUUUCGCUGAUGCUGGAAGUCGUCUCUCCGAUCAAAACAAUCUCCGCGAAACGGAACUAGGGUUUCCGGACCGGAGCGUUCGAGAAUUAGGACAAGAUCAAGAUCUAGACAUAACCAAUUGCUUAUCCGAAGUAGUAAAAGUAAAGAAGGAAGAAGAAGAAGAAGAUUGCUGUAAGACUCCGACACGUCUUGAUCAAAUUCUCCCGGCGAUCCCACAAACCUGUCCGCCGGCGCCGAGGAAACCUAAGGGAGUCCCGUCGAGGAGUUUGAAGGUUAGAAAUUGUUAUAAAAGCAGGAGAAUGAUCAUUCUGAAUGUUUCUAGAGAAUUCGACUGUAUGUUUCAUUCAACAUCUCUGUGUAAC